rnacentral:misc_RNA from 1 species
CUAGUUUGACCAAUAAAUAGGAAUAAAAUUUUCUUUAGCGUUGGCAAGGGGAAUUGAACUCAAGACCUCAUAAAAGAUAAUUCAAAGUUGUAACAAAUUGGGCUAGCAUGACAGUUAUAUUGUAUAUCAAAAAAAUAGUUACACAUUUAUAAAAAAAUUUUAUAUAUCAUAUUACUUGAAUACUUUUUAUAUAAAAUUUAAAAAUACUAUUAAAAUUU